GCCAGUAAUAACUAUAAACCACUGGUCUUGCAUAGCAGCACUUUUUUGCUGUCUGUGCAUUUAUUUAGGGGUUAAUAUUUUUUUUUUUGUGACAGAUCACUAAAUGAAGUGAUUGUGAGAGGCCGUAUAGCGCUGAGGAGGCGUAUGCCAUCCUUGUGUUAGAGUCUGACGUGUCUAUGUUUGACUGAUUUUGACCCUGCCAGGUGC